GAUGAACGCUGGCGGCGUGCUUAACACAUGCAAGUCGAACGAAGAGGGUUAGAAUGAGAGCUUCGGCAGGAUUUCUUUCCAUCUUAGUGGCGGACGGGUGAGUAACGUGUGGGCAACCUGCCCUGUACUGGGGAAUAAUCAUUGGAAACGAUGACUAAUACCGCAUGUGGUCCUCGGGAGGCAUCUUCUGAGGAAGAAAGGAUUUAUUCGGUACAGGAUGGGCCCGCAUCUGAUUAGCUAGUUGGUGAGAUAACAGCCCACCAAGGCGACGAUCAGUAGCCGACCUGAGAGGGUGAUCGGCCACAUUGGGACUGAGACACGGCCCAAACUCCUACGGGAGGCAGCAGUGGGGAAUAUUGCACAAUGGGCGAAAGCCUGAUGCAGCAACGCCGCGUGAAGGAUGAAGGGUUUCGGCUCGUAAACUUCUAUCAAUAGGGAAGAAACAAAUGACGGUACCUAAAUAAGAAGCCCCGGCUAACUACGUGCCAGCAGCCGCGGUAAUACGUAGGGGGCAAGCGUUAUCCGGAAUUACUGGGUGUAAAGGGAGCGUAGGCGGCAUGGUAAGCCAGAUGUGAAAGCCUUGGGCUUAACCCGAGGAUUGCAUUUGGAACUAUCAAGCUAGAGUACAGGAGAGGAAAGCGGAAUUCCUAGUGUAGCGGUGAAAUGCGUAGAUAUUAGGAAGAACACCAGUGGCGAAGGCGGCUUUCUGGACUGAAACUGACGCUGAGGCUCGAAAGCGUGNGGAGCANACAGG
rnacentral:rRNA from 1 species